rnacentral:ncRNA from 2 species
AUAAGCCUUCGGGGCAGGGUGAGGGUGUAAGAGCCCAAUUCCCGAUCGGCGGUAAAGCCCGCGAGCGCCAGUGGCGUAGGAUCCGGUGAAACUCCGGGGCCGACGGUAUAGUCCGGACGAAAGAAGGUUAGC